AGUUUUGCGCAGUGGCAAUAUCGUAGCCAAUGAGGUUUAUCCGAGGUGCGAUUAUUGCUAAUUGAAAGAAUUCCUCCUGCAUGCUACACUUAGUUUAACACAUCAGUGUUCAAAAGAUAUAGCUAACAAAUAAAUUAAAUAAAUACUUAU
rnacentral:snRNA from 1 species